rnacentral:rRNA from 1 species
GCGAAGGUGCCUGGCUUAAAGGUGCGAGUCGAGCGAACUGAUUAAAAGCUUGCUUCUAUGACGUUAGCGGCGGACGGGUGAGUAACACGUGGGCAACCUGCCUGUAAGACUGGGAUAACUUCGGGAAACCGAAACUAAUACCGGAUAGGAUCUUCUCCUUCAUGGGAGAUGAUUGAAAGAUGGUUUCGGCUAUCACUUACAGAUGGGCCCGCGGUGCAUUAGCUAGUUGGUGAGGUAACGGCUCACCAAGGCAACGAUGCAUAGCCGACCUGAGAGGGUGAUCGGCCACACUGGGACUGAGACACGGCCCAGACUCCUACGGGAGGCAGCAGUAGGGAAUCUUCCGCAAUGGACGAAAGUCUGACGGAGCAACGCCGCGUGAGUGAUGAAGGCUUUCGGGUCGUAAAACUCUGUUGUUAGGGAAGAACAAGUACAAGAGUAACUGCUUGUACCUUGACGGUACCUAACCAGAAAGCCACGGCUAACUACGUGCCAGCAGCCGCGGUAAUACGUAGGUGGCAAGCGUUAUCCGGAAUUAUUGGGCGUAAAGCGCGCGCAGGCGGUUUCUUAAGUCUGAUGUGAAAGCCCACGGCUCAACCGUGGAGGGUCAUUGGAAACUGGGGAACUUGAGUGCAGAAGAGAAAAGCGGAAUUCCACGUGUAGCGGUGAAAUGCGUAGAGAUGUGGAGGAACACCAGUGGCGAAGGCGGCUUUUUGGUCUGUAACUGACGCUGAGGCGCGAAAGCGUGGGGAGCAAACAGGAUUAGAUACCCUGGUAGUCCACGCCGUAAACGAUGAGUGCUAAGUGUUAGAGGGUUUCCGCCCUUUAGUGCUGCAGCUAACGCAUUAAGCACUCCGCCUGGGGAGUACGGUCGCAAGACUGAAACUCAAAGGAAUUGACGGGGGCCCGCACAAGCGGUGGAGCAUGUGGUUUAUUUCGAAGCAACGCGAAGAUCUUUACCAGGUCUUGACAUCCUCUGACAACUCUAGAGAUAGAGCGUUU